rnacentral:lncRNA from 1 species
CAGAGCAACAGAUAUCCGUGUAAUCAAAUCGGCUACGCAAGGGGCGCAUUGGAGAGCCAAACCCCUCCGCAAGCCAAAUUUAUACAAAUGGGCCUCUUUUGUUCACAGGAUACAAUGCAGCUGCUCAAUUUACUACUGCACGCCAAACGGAUAAAGAACCACGAAUGCACUGAGGUGUAGAAGCUGUAUGAAGUAUCUCACUGGGUGUCGUCAUGCAGCUAGCCAUAAUCCCCGAUGUCUGCCGUCACCAAGCUGACCACUGACCUGGGCGAGGGCGUGUGUGGGUGCCAGGUGGCCUGUUGUCAUGCAACACACAAUGGCUGCAGACAGCUGCAGUCAAGAAACUAACUACGUUCACCAGCUAAAGAUGAUUCAUCAGACAGAGUCGAGGUGGUGAACCACCGGGUGGGAGCAGCCUCGUAAGUGCGUCUGUUGAUGUGGGCUCCAACAGCAUGAUCACUGUCCUGAUUAGCUGCUGCAUCUAUCACUGGGUGUUUGGACGGGACCAACGGCUCUGCUGAUGGACAUGGGGUCACUCCCCUGAGCA